GUGAUCAUCGAGUCUUUGAACGCACCUUGCGCCCCGUGGUUUACCACAGGGGCACGCCCGUUCGAGUAUCACGUUAACCCCUCGCCCCGACCGGUGUCAAAGCCGGGCGGGUUGCGGAUUUGGACGUUGCCGUCGUUGGCUCGUCUCGACAUGCAUUAGCUGGAGCCGCCUUCCGCGUCGGCCUUGGUGUGAUAUUUCUUUGCGCCAUUAUCGACUCGGUCGCGUCGCUUUGCUUUCGAACCCCGUGUUCGCCACACGGAAAUCAUCAAACUUUGAUCUCGAAUCGGGUGGGUCUACCCGAUGAACUUAAGCAUAUCAAUAAGCGGAGG
rnacentral:rRNA from 1 species